CCUACGGGGGGCAGCAGUAGGGAAUCUUCCACAAUGGACGCAAGUCUGAUGGAGCAACGCCGCGUGAGUGAAGAAGGGUUUCGGCUCGUAAAGCUCUGUUGUUAAAGAAGAACGUGGGUAAGAGUAACUGUUUACCCAGUGACGGUAUUUAACCAGAAAGCCACGGCUAACUACGUGCCAGCAGCCGCGGUAAUACGUAGGUGGCAAGCGUUAUCCGGAUUUAUUGGGCGUAAAGCGAGCGCAGGCGGUCUUUUAAGUCUAAUGUGAAAGCCUUCGGCUCAACCGAAGAAGUGCAUUGGAAACUGGGAGACUUGAGUGCAGAAGAGGACAGUGGAACUCCAUGUGUAGCGGUGAAAUGCGUAGAUAUAUGGAAGAACACCAGUGGCGAAGGCGGCUGUCUGGUCUGCAACUGACGCUGAGGCUCGAAAGCAUGGGUAG
rnacentral:rRNA from 1 species